UGCAGAGUGGCUAAGAGCUUUAGCUUGGGAUCCCCAAAGGCCUGGGUUUGAACCCCAGCUCGGCCA
rnacentral:tRNA from 1 species